rnacentral:rRNA from 1 species
UACGGGGGGUGCAAGCGUUGUUCGGAUUUACUGGGCGUAAAGGGCGCGUAGGCGGCGCAACAAGUCACUUGUGAAAUCUCCGGGCUUAACCCGGAGCGGCCAAGUGAUACUGUCGUGCUAGAGUGCGGAAGGGGCUACUGGAAUUCUCGGUGUAGCGGUGAAAUGCGUAGAUAUCGAGAGGAACACCUGCGGCGAAGGCGGGUAGCUGGGCCGACACUGACGCUGAUGCGCGAAAGCGUGGGGAGCAAACAGG